CGGGCCCUUUGCUCCUGGCGAGGCGAGGGACGGUAGUAGAAGGGAGCAAGCAUUCCAUGGGGAACUCCGAAGAGGAAGCAGAUGAAAUGCUCCAAGAUGCAACCUUGGGAACUCAAUCCCCACAAAGCGAUCUUUUUGAUACUAAACUUCGAGAGAUGGUGGAAAGCAAUCCGAUUGAUUUUGAUACUUGGAUAAUGCUUAUAACAGAAAUUGAGAAUAUGGAACCUAAUAGCAUAAAAAGAAUCACCCAGGUUUAUGAUCAUUUCUUGUCAGAAUUUCCUUUGUGCUAUGCGUAUUGGUCAAAAUAUGCAAGUCACAAGGCACGAUUGUGCACUUUGCAAGAGGUGCAAGAUAUCUAUGAGCAGGCUGCCGGAGCACUGGCAUACUCUGUAGACCACUGGGUCAAUUAUUGUAGCUUUGCUAUUAAAUGCUAUGAAGAUCCUGCUGAUGUUCGAAGAUUAUUUAAAAGGGCAUUAUCUUUUGUUGGAAAGGACUACUUGUGUGAUCGUCUUUGGGAUAAAUAUAUUGAAUUUGAGUAUUCUCAGAAACAAUGGACUCACCUUGCUCCUAUCUACAUUAACAUUCUGAGAUUUCCAACAAGAAAUUUGAAGAACUAUUUUGAAAGUUUUAAAAAGUUGCGUUCUAUAUGGGAAGAAAUGGGAUGUUUAGAAAGUGACGAUGUUACAAUAGAGGAUGUACCUACUUGUGAAGCUGAAAAUGUAAAGUCUUACAAAUAUGCUGAGUUAUCAGAUAUAGUUGGAAACCUCAUAAAUGGAGAAGAUGGUCAUCCUGAUUCUAAUACGUUGAAACAAUAUUUAUCAGCCGGGGAGCAAUUGUAUCAUAAGUCAACUCAAAUAGACGGUGAUAUCAAAUGUUUUGAGGCAUGCAUAAGGAGGCCUUAUUUCCAUGUCAAUCCACUUGAUUGUUCUCAACUUGAUAACUGGCACAAGUAUCUUGACUUUGUUGAACAUCAAGGAGAUUUUGACUGGACUGUAAAACUGUAUGAGAGAUGUUUAAUUGCUUGCGCUAAUUACCCAGAGUUCUGGAUCCGUUACGUGGAAUUUGUAGAUGCUAAGGGUGGUAGAGCAAUAGCAAACAAUGCCCUUAAGCGAGCAUCAACUGUCUUUCUAAAGAAAAAUCCAACCUUCCAUAUUUACUAUACUAUGUAUAAAGAGCAAGUUGGCGACAUCUCCAGUGCACGUGCUUCUUUUCCUCAAUGCUCCUGUGAUUCAACGAUUGACCUUACUGAGAAUGUUAACAGACAAGCCAACAUGGAAAAGCGCAUGGGAAACAAUGAAGCCGCUUUUCUGAUAUAUGAGAAAGCAAUUGAAGUGGCAACGAAGAAUGAUGAUUCCAAUGCUUUAUCAAUACUAUAUUCUAAUUUUGCUCAGUUCACACUUGUGGUAACUGGUAGAAUAGAUGCUGCAAGAGAGGCUUUUGUCAAAGGAGUUCAACAGAAGCCUUGCAAAUCGAUGAUAGAGGGCUUGAUGCAGUUCCUAACCAUGCAUGGUGACACCAGACAGUUACCUGAAGUGGAUGGUUUUAUGGCUAAUUUAAUUUCUCCUGGAACAGAUUUAUCACGGUCUUUGAGCUCUAAUGACCGAGAGGACAUCUCAAGGUUGUUUUUAAAGCAGUUAGUUGACCAAUAUGGAACUAUUCAUGACAUCAGAAAGGCAUGGGAUCGUCACUGGAAACUUUUUCCACAUGUAAUGAGACCUUCAGUUAACCAUACAACCACUGGGAAAGGUACCUUUGACAAUAUAGCAGAACUAAAAGCUGCAAUGUUGGCUACUUCAUUUCAUCUUGUGAAUGGAGAAAAUAGCCAUGAUGAGCCAGACACACAUACAGAAAGAUCAUCUCUGGGAAAUAUUACCAGCACAGUGCCUGAAGAGGUUCUGACAUUGCCUUCACAGGCAAAAGAAAUCAGAAGUGAUGCAACAGGAAUGUUGGCACAUGUUGAAACUGCUUCUGAAAUGCAACCACAUUCUGUAGUUGAAGACAUUGAACUGAAAAAAGAGACCUGCGAUAAUAUUAAACCUUCAAGCGAUAAUCUCUCAAUAAAUUAUCUGGAAGUUGAAACUCAGAAAACCAAGCUGACUGGUUCUCCUGACCGGACUGCUCCUCUGGUAGAUUCCAGAUCAAAUGGAGCCUUUAAAGAUUCCAUGUCCAGAUCCUCUGGACCUCAAGUAAAAUUUGAAAAGGAUUUUAGUCCAAUGCAUUCAGCCAGUGAUCAGAGUUCCCUUGAAUCACAGAAGGGUUCAGUUGUGCAGAAAUCCAGUAAUGAUGAGAACUCUGCUGGGACACACUACAGUGUGCUGGCCCGAGAGGACUACCAUCACAGAUCUCAUUCAAGCGUUCAAUCUCCACAGCCUCAAGAAAAGCAGGUAGCUGCUGCACAUGUACAAUAUGCCCCAGCAGUUACAAACUCACAAAUGGCCACAAAUCAAAGUUAUCCAUGUCAGUCUCCGACUGCAAAUGUUCAACAAAGACAACAAGCUGAUCAAGUCCAAGUUCCAUAUCAAAUGACUGCUGCUCAAGUUUACCCAGUUAGUAACAUUGCCUGGCCAGGACACAAUAUGAUGCAGCAAGGCUUUGUGUAUGCCCAAGCACAACCGAGCACCCAGUCAGCUACCUUAUCUCCCGCUAUGCAAGUAUAUCAAUACGUUUUACCAGGCAAUGAACAGUAUGGAUAUCUUCAAAAUGGACAAGGAUUCCCUCCUCAUAUAUGGCAGUAUUAUCAGCAACAGCUUUAUUAUUUGCAACAGGUGCAGCUACAACAGCAACAGAACCAACAAGCAAACUCGACACAGCAGCAACUACAGAUUGAGCAAUUGCAACAGAUGCAAAACCUGCAACUACAGCAGCUGCAACUUCAAAAUCAACAACAGUCACUUGUGAUGCAGCAGCAAAACCAGCAUCAUGUUAGCCAACAAGAAGCACAGCACUCAUCACAGCAGGAAAAACAUGAACAGCUGCAGCAAACGUCUCCAUAUCAGCAACAGAACCAACAGAUGUCACAUGAGCAGCAGCUUCUAUACCUGCAGCAGCAACAGCUAUAUAUACACCAGCAACAACUUCUCUUGCAGCAGCAGCAGCAACAACAGUUACUUCAGCAGCAACAACAUCCUCAGAAUCAGCAGCAGCAGGCACCACAGCAACAGCAGACACUUCAAGAACAGCAGAUGCACCAGAUGCAGCAGCAAUCAAGUUCCUCAGAUAGGCAUUAUUUACAGCAUGCUGUUCACAUACAGCAUUAUUCAGCCAAUCAACUUGCGCAGCACUAUGGCCAGCAAGCUGUUACAUCCCAGUCUUCACAGGGUGAAGGUUCAAAAUCUCCAAAUGCUGAGCAAUCUGCUUCUCCUUCGGACUCGAGACAUCGGCAGACUCCAUCGACUCAAUGAGCCUAUCCAGGAAAAAGCCAGAACCAAACUAACAACUUUCCAUUAGGAUCAAAAUUCAUCCAAAUGGUACAUCAACCUGCAUAUCACAGGAAUCUUGAUUUUCAGUUAUUCGACACGAAGAUUAAGUAGUUACAUCAGUGGCCUCAGCCUUAAUGUGCACCUUCUGCUCCAUUAUCAUGCAAGAGUCUGAAGCAGUUUCUUACUGGCCCAGGUAUCAUGCAUGUGUUUAUCAAUCUAUCUUCAUAACAUUUUGAUCCCCAGAAUAUAAAUUUCUUUUUGGUGUCAUGUUUACAAAAUAUCUCUUGGGGUUUUGGAGGUGUUGAGGAUGUUUACUGUAAAGACAUACUUUCUCAUGUUAUUAUGCUGAUAAUUUGUGUCCUUUGAAAAUGUAUAUGAAAAUGUUGUUGUUCUUUUGGUAUAUCCACUGCCCUCAUUCAAACUUAAGUGAUUUUCUGUUGUGUUUCAUUUGCAAAUGUGAGAAUGACCUGCA